GCGACGCCGGUCGGCCGCUUUCACCAAUACUUCCUCUGUUGGCUCCUCGUAUUUUCCUCCACGGUAUCGAAAUACGAAGCCUCAAAAUCAUUCAAGCGCAUAAGUAAAUUAUAGCAAUUAUUUCCAUUCGAAAUUAUAUUUAUUUCGGACUUAGGUUAAAUUACUCAACCUUCGAAUUAUUCGGAAAUUAAUUAAAUAACCCCCACGAUUAAAUUAUCGGCCCAAGAAUUUAAAUUAAUUCCCACCUUAAUUAAAAUGCCAGCCCACCUUAUUCCUCCAAAUAAAAUUAGGAUGGCCCAAGUUCAAAAAACCCAUUUCAAAAGAAAUUGAGGAGUCGAUCCUCGUUCCCCCAUCCGCCCAACUUCUCUCUCCCCCUUCUUCACAAAAGAGGAAUCCCCCAAUUUGGAGAAAUCUCUAACCCAUCGCAUACUCCUUCUCACGCCGACUCCGACCUCAAUUAGCCGCCGGGUGUCCGCCCUCUGUCAUGACGCAACAGCUGUACCAAGCAGCCAUCACCGUCGUUAUUAUCGCUGAUCCGAGCAGCCACCGCCGCUGCCCUCACUGGUUCGGCUCGCUGUUCAGCCGCUGUUGUUCAUUGGCCGCCACUGAGCAGUCAUCGCCGUCUCACCCAAACGCCGCUGCUCGCCGACGGGGUCAGGGCCACCACCGCUGUUCCACAACAGAAAUUGCCGCUGCUGUACAGUCGAAGGUCUCGCAGCGUCGCCGUCCUUCUCAAUUAGCAACUGCAUUGCGCGUUUGCUGUUAGGACAGCCACCGUUCCUCACCGAUUCAACCUCGAAACGACACGGAAGCCCCCGAAACAUCUCCGAACAGCCCCGAAACAACUCCGAACCGUCCCGAAAGAUAAGUUCUCAUUACAAAGUUAUCUUCUUUCGUUGUCAGUUUUCAAUUACUCUGUUAUGGGUGUUCAAUUGGUUAUGUUCGAUUGAUGUUAUUGUUUGAGUUGUUCGUGUGGGGGUGAGUUUGGCAGAAUGAUAUGUACUGAUAUGCUAUGCUUAUGAAAAAUACUUGAUCGAUUGGAACGGGGUUUACCUCGCUGAGAACUAAGCUUGGCGGCAGGAGUUUGUAAGGCCGAAAGGGGUGAACUCCUUGGCUUGGCAGAUUGUUUCUGCCGUGAAUUUCAUAAGAAGAGAAUGAGUUCUCAUCCGUGAUCAACACUUGGAAAUCAAAAAGGAAGAUGGAAUGGAUAUUUACCGUGACUUGUGACGAAUUGAAUAAGGGAGAUGGAAAGUGGAAGAUGGAAGAUUGGGAGUCUCCAUGGCGUUUAACGAGGAGAGGAAGAGUUUUUGGGCUUGCAAGCAAAAUUUUCCAUGAAGGAAUUGGGCUCAAAGACAUCUCUCACAACUUUAAUUAAAUUGUUUGGGCUCAUUUAGUUGCAGAGCCCAAAUUUGUAUAAUUAUUUAUUUGUUGGACUUUUUUGAUUGUUAUGGCCCAAAGCCAUUUUUAUAAAAAUAUUUGGACUCCAAUUUUAUUUGAGAAGUCCAAGUGUA